GUAUAAGAGACAGCAGUAGCCACGGGAAUACGUAGGGUGCAAGCGUUAAUCGGAAUUACUGGGCGUAAAGCGUGCGUAGGCGGCUUCUUAAGUCGGAUGUGAAAUCCCUGAGCUUAACUUAGGAAUUGCAUUCGAUACUGGGAAGCUAGAGUAUGGGAGAGGAUGGUAGAAUUCCAGGUGUAGCGGUGAAAUGCGUAGAGAUCUGGAGGAAUACCGAUGGCGAAGGCAGCCAUCUGGCCUAAUACUGACGCUGAGGUACGAAAGCAUGGGGAGCAAACAGGAUUAGAUACCCCUGUAGUCCCUGUCUCUUAUAC
rnacentral:rRNA from 1 species